rnacentral:rRNA from 1 species
CCUACGGGAGGCAGCAGUGAGGAAUAUUGGUCAAUGGCCGGAAGGCUGAACCAGCCAUGCCGCGUGAAGGUCAGUGCCCUAUGGGCGUUAAACUUCUUUUGUGCGGGAGCAAUAAUGGUCACGUGUGGCCAGACGAGAGUACCGGACGAAUAAUCAUCGGCUAACUCCGUGCCAGCAGCCGCGGUAAUACGGGGGAUGCAAGCGUUAUCGCGAUUUAUUGGGUUUAAAGGGUGCGUAAGCUGUGAGGUAAGUCAGCGUUGAAAUGCCCCCGCUCAACGGGGUGAAGUGCCAUUGAUACUGCCUUGCUGGAAUGCGAAUGCGGAGGGAGGAAUGUGUGGUGUAGCGGUGAAAUGCAUAGAUAUCACACAGAGCACCGAUUGCGAAGGCAUCUAACGAAUCCGCGAUUGACGCUGAUGCACGAAAGCGUGGGUAUCAAACAGGAUUAGAUACCCUAGUAGUC